GCCAGCAUGGUGGUGUGCACUAUACUCUCCACUACCGGGGAGGCCGAGGAUGGUAGAUGGCCUGAGUUCAGGUGCUUUGAAUUGCAGUAGGGCUGAGCUGAUCAGAUGUCCUCACUAAGUUUGGCAUCGACAUGGGGAGCCCCUGGGAGGGAUGGGUCAUCAGGCAGCCUAAAGAUGGGCUACCCAGGCCAGGAAUAGAGCAGGUCAAAGCCCGUGUGCCAACCAGUAAUGGGACUGGAACCAUGAUUGGCCACUGAAUUUCUAACCUGGUCAAAAUAGGGAAACCCAUUAUCAA
rnacentral:SRP_RNA from 1 species